CAAAUUGAAACAUUAUAUUCAUGUCAUCUCAUAGCAUCACAUUGGGGCAAAUACUAUGUUUAAUCCCUGUGGUAGGAUUAUAAAUCACCAUUAUACACGUGGUUGGGCCG